rnacentral:lncRNA from 1 species
UUAGGAAAAGCGGGCUGACUGCCUCGGUCGGUUUGAGACUAAGACAACGACGGUAGGGGCAGGGGCGAACGAAGCUGACCGGUAUCGAGCCGAGCAGCGGCUGCUCUGCAGCGGCGAUCCAUUUCUUUCUGGAAAUUCGGACAGCGUCGACGGUGAAAUUAGAAGGCCUACUGUCACGCAGAACCUCAGCGCGACAACAGCAACAAUUUCACUCAACGAUUGCGGAGAAGAGGCAGUAGAGGCGGGCUGAAUUCUCAGAAUAGGAAGCUUGAAUCUCGGUUGCGGAUAUGUUGAAAGAUGAAACGAGGGGAGGAGAAGGUGAGCGAGGCCGACCGACUCCAGGCCGGAGCAGCACUAGAACGGCGACCAGCCAUCAGAUUCUGACGGAGACGCGGUGCAGCGGCGACCUGAUAUUUGACGAUUAGGGCUCGAAUUGGGGCUCUGCGGAGAGGAGAGUCCGACGCAGGAGAACGAACGAGACGCAGGCGGUUCGCCGGGAAUUGCAGCGGCGAUUGCGAUGUCAGGAAGGACCUAGGGCACGCCCUCUCACCUCGGACGAACUUCAGCAAGAGAGAAGAUACGGAGAUAGACGGGUGCGGUCGCGCCGGACCUAAACUCGGCGGUAGCCGACGCCGGUCGGAGCAGAGGCGGCGACUGAAAUCAUCGACUGAUG